rnacentral:misc_RNA from 1 species
UGGACUACUAGGGUAUCUAAUCCCGUUUGCUCCCCUAGCUUUCGCUCAUCAGCGUCAAUGUCGGUCCAGGAUGCCGCCUUCGCCACCGGUAUUCCUCCAGAUAUCUACGCAUUUCACCGCUACACCUGGAAUUCUGCAUCCCUCUCCCGAAUUCAAGCCAUCCAGUAUCGGACGCAGUUCCUCGGUUGAGCCGAGGGAUUUCACGUCCGACUUAGUUGGCCGCCUACGAGCCCUCUACGCCCAGUAAUUCCGAACAACGCUUGCCCCCCCCGUAUUACCGCGGCUGCUGGCACG